GACGAACGCUGGCGGCGCGCCUAACACAUGCAAGUCGAGCGAUGAACAUUGAAUGAUCCCUUCGGGGUGAUUUCGAUCGGAUUAGCGGCGAACGGGUGAGUAACGCGUGAGGAACCUGCCUCUUACAACGGGAUAGCCUCGGGAAACCGGGAUUAAUACCGUAUAAGACUCCGACACCUCCUGGUGAUGAAGUCAAAGCGUUAGCGGUAAGAGAUGGCCUCGCGUCUGAUUAGUUAGUUGGCGGGGUAACGGCCCACCAAGACGACGAUCAGUAACCGGCCUGAGAGGGUGAACGGUCACAUUGGAACUGAGACACGGUCCAA
rnacentral:rRNA from 1 species